rfam:Cellulomonas bogoriensis 69B4 = DSM 16987 strain 69B4 contig156, whole genome shotgun sequence.
CCCGGGCCGCACGACGAGGUCUCCUCCCGCCCUCUGGCGCACUUCCCCGGUGCCAGAGAGCUGCGGAGGGAGACCUGGCCGGGUGGCCCGACGGUG